rnacentral:lncRNA from 1 species
GUGUACUUGAUAUUGUUGCCCGAGUCAACUCGUCCCGCGUUGGGUUGAAACAGGCAAAAGGCGAGUGUCUCGGGCCUGGGAUCGCUCUGGUACGCGAAGAAAGGGUAUGGGUUGAUGGCAAAAGGCGAGCCAGUGUUUCUCUGGAACUCCAACAAGCCCCUCAUUGUGUCCGAAGUCGCCGGGUUGAAAGCGCCGGAGGAGGGCGGGUCAGACUGAGUCAACACGGCCAUGGAGUGCACGGUUGAGACCUUGAUUUUUCCUCCCAGUGACGCCGCGUUGAGGGCAUUCUGGACAUUUUGCAUCGCCGGCAAGAGCUGCGACAUCAGGUUCUGGUCGGUGGAGCUCAUGACCUCGUUGCCAACAGUGAUGAGGAUAAUCUUGCUUGCAGGGUAGUAGGCGAUGACGUUUGAGUUCACCCACUGAGCCGCGAAGUUCGGAUCGGAGGCUAGGGCGGGGAUGUCGCCGUUGGCGGCGCCGAUAACGAUCCCGAUACCAGUGUUGGCAAGAGCUUUGAUGAUUCCCGGAUCGGCGCCGUAUAAUCUGACCUUUUCAAUUGACGUGGAUUUGAGCAGCUUCGCGGUGGCCUCAGGCGGCGGUAGGUUGUUGGCGACUUGCCCAUAGUUGAUGCCGAUGAAAGACUGCG